CCUACGGGAGGCAGCAGUAGGGAAUCUUCCACAAUGGGCGAAAGCCUGAUGGAGCAACGCCGCGUGGGUGAAGAAGGUCUUCGGAUCGUAAAACCCUGUUGUUAGAGAAGAAAGUGCGUGAGAGUAACUGUUCACGUUUCGACGGUAUCUAACCAGAAAGCCACGGCUAACUACGUGCCAGCAGCCGCGGUAAUACGUAGGUGGCAAGCGUUAUCCGGAUUUAUUGGGCGUAAAGGGAACGCAGGCGGUCUUUUAAGUCUGAUGUGAAAGCCUUCGGCUUAACCGGGGUAGUGCAUUGGAAACUGGGAGACGUGAGUGCAGAAGAGGAGAGUGGAACUCCAUGUGUAGCGGUGAAAUGCGUGGAUAUAUGGAAGAACACCAGUGGCGAAAGCGGCUCUCUGGUCUGUAACUGACGCUGAGGUUCGAAAGCGUGGGUAGCAAACAGGAUUAGAUACCCUGGUAGUC
rnacentral:rRNA from 1 species